GUGCCUCUGAUGACACCCCUGAGUGGAAACGCACACAUACCGUGACGCUGCCUCACAGAUCUGAUGAAGCAGCCCAGUGAAAGAAUGAGCUCAUCACCAUUUCAUCAUUUCACCACGACUGCUGAGUUGAGAUGGCAGCGUGCAGGUUUCAUGGUAGCUGCAUUAAUUCCACCGGCCAGUGGUUCGCUGUGUUUACACGGCAGUAAUUGAGUGACUGCGACCUGAUCGGACAUGGAGCUGAGUAAGUGUGGGAAGUCCUCCUCUCUUCUAGGACUGUGACCCUCAGCUCAACCCUGUCAGUCACGUCUGCCUUAUCAUCCAGUGGUUGAUUGAGAGAUAUCCUCAGCGCCACGUAGGGGCAUAAAGUCAUCCCUUCCACCGAUCUUAUCACUCAGGAGCCUCGGAUUAUGUUACACGGGUAAACAAGAAAGGGCAGCGACAGAUGGAGCUCAGCACCGUCUCAGGCUCCACCUAAUGAUGAAGACAGCGAACCGCUCCUCGUCCAUGAACACAGUACAUGCGUCGGCGAAGCUUUGUCUUUAAAAUCAUUUUUAGCUUUUGUGACUCAUGGUGCAAUGGCUGCAUCUGUACCUCUUAAACCCAGUAUUCUAUUUAUUUUAGUCCGUGUGGGUGUGAACAAAUGUCCGAGAUCAUCUGUGGAGUCAAACUGGGCCCUGAGACCUGAGCUGUCCAAUGUGCUGAACCGGUAAAAUGUAAAACACGCCUUCAGAACCAUUUAUUACAACGUUACUAAUCACUUGGUUUUGUUUUAAACUGACUUGUGUCUUUUUCACAGACUAGUGAGUACAUUUGUCUUCUGUCACCACUCCUCCGGUUUUCAUAUACGUGUGUAACUGUUGCUGGCUGCACAGAGAAUCCUGCUUCUCUCUCAUUGUAGAGCAGUGAAAAGCCGUCCACUAAAGGAUCACAUCAGCCGGUCCCAUGGAGACACUUGGAUAAAUACGCAGUUAAAAUAGAGGGGGAGUCAAGUUGCACCAUGAGGUUUUGACGGGACACCCAUAAUUUCCCCAACAAACACAAAACAACAUUUUUCAAAGCCUCAAAACAAAAGCCAGGAGACCUGAUAUAAUAAUUAGAGGCGGGUGAGUGUCGGUCUCGGGAGUCGCUCGCGGCCCGAGGUCGAAGGUCAACGAGGUCACGGCUUGAAGUCGCUCGGCGCUGCCCGUUUCACCUGAGGACGCGCGGUGACGCGACGACUGAAUCACAGCGACGCGACGCAGCUGCUUCUUCAGCCGCACAGGCUUUGAAUCACCCACAACUGAGCCAUUGUUUUUGUAUUGUUCAGCAUGGAGAAAAAAGUGUACACAAAAAGAGACUAAAUGGUUUUGAUUAGGCUCCACCUUUUAAAUUAUUAUAAAGGCUUUUUGAAAACAA